rnacentral:tRNA from 1 species
GGAGAGAUGUCCGAGCGGCUUAAGGAGUCGGUCUUGAAAACCGAUGUGGGGAAACCCACCGGGGGUUCGAAUCCCUCUCUCUCCG